rnacentral:rRNA from 1 species
CUAUUAUUUUUUUUUGUAAAAAUUGAGUAAUUUACCUAAGUAUUAUGAAUGUAAUUAAAUAUAUAUAUAUAUAUAUAUAUAUAUAUAUAUAUAUAUAUAUAUAAAUUUAUAUUUAAAACUUAAAAAGUUUGGCGGUUUUACAUAUCCAGUUAGGGGAGUUUGUUAAUUUGUUUGAUAAUCCUCAUUUUAAACUUACUUUUUUUUGAAUAUAUAGUUAAAUACAGUUUAUAUAUUGCUGUCGUCAGUUUAUCUUUUGAGAAUUAAAGAACUAGAUAAUUUUUAGAUUGUUAUGUCAAGUCAUAAUGUAGCUAAUAGAAAAGGUUUAAUGAACUACUGNGAAUAAUAUUUUAAUUAAUCCGGACAAUGAGAGUUAAAUUUAUUGGAAAGGCGGACUUAAUAGUAAAUUAUAAUUAGUAUGUAUAUUUGAAUAAGGUUUGUAAAGUGU